rnacentral:rRNA from 1 species
GAUCAUGGCUCAGGAUGAACGCUAGCGACAGGCCUAACACAUGCAAGUCGAGGGGCAGCGAAGAGGUAGCAAUACCUUUGUCGGCGACCGGCGCACGGGUGAGUAACACGUAUGCAAUCCACCUGUAACAGGGGGAUAACCCGGAGAAAUCCGGACUAAUACCCCAUAAUAUGGGCUCUCCGCAUGGAGGGUUCAUUAAAGAGAGCAAUUUUGGUUACAGACGAGCAUGCGCUCCA